CACGUAGGGUGCGAGCGUUGUCCGGAAUUAUUGGGCGUAAAGAGCUCGUAGGCGGUGUGUCGCGUCGGCCGUGAAAACCUGCAGCUUAACUGUGGGCGUGCGGUCGAUACGGGCAUCACUGGAGUUCGGCAGGGGAGACUGGAAUUCCUGGUGUAGCGGUGAAAUGCGCAGAUAUCAGGAGGAACACCGGUGGCGAAGGCGGGUCUCUGGGCCGAUACUGACGCUGAGGAGCGAAAGCGUGGGGAGCAAAACGG
rnacentral:rRNA from 1 species